AUAUGAUUUUGUUAUAAAUUGCGUAUAAUUUCAAGAAUAAGGCUUGAUAGUUUCUACCGGUUAGCCGUAAACUAACCGACUACGGAAUUUAGGUAUAAUAAU
rnacentral:ncRNA from 2 species